UUUAAAUGAAUAAACCCCUAUCUCUAAUCAGUAGGCUUAUAAAUAUAUGUUAAUAAAAUAUGUCAGAAUGGGCCUGCUGGUUUGGUGGCUAAGGUGUUAGUUGGCGUGUGGGAGGUUUGAAGUUCAAGUCUCUGCUCUAGCAAGGUGGAUAUAUUUUUGCUAGUGGUGUCGUGGAGAGUUUGAGUAUAAUUGAAAUGUCGAUGUGGUAGAGGUGUAGUGGAAAGUGAAGAGAGAAAAUUAAGGGAUUUUGGAUAGAGUGAGAGAGUCGUGGACGAUUUUGGGGUGUUUGAGUUGUAGUGGGGGAGUGUGGGAUCAGAUUGAGAGAUUGAAGGGUUAUCUGAUUUAGUUCAGAUUUUCUUUUUUUUCUCUCUUUUUGGAAAAUUUUUUCUCUCUCCCCAAUUCCAAAUUCUGAUUUUUUUUAUAUGACACCUUGCACAUUGCCGAAAUUCUCUGAUCUGAUCUCCCUCUUCAGUCUUGUUUUUUUCUUUCACUCUUGUCG
rnacentral:lncRNA from 1 species